GGGGGUAGGGCGCAAUUGGUAGCGCCCCGGUCCCCAAAACCGAAGGUUCGAGGUUCAAACCCUCGUCCCCCCGCCA
rnacentral:tRNA from 1 species